rnacentral:rRNA from 1 species
CCUACGGGUGGCAGCAGUGAGGAAUAUUGGUCAAUGGGCGCGAGCCUGAACCAGCCAAGUAGCGUGAAGGAUGACUGCCCUACGGUUUGUAAACUUCUUUUAUAAAGGAGUAGAGUGAGGCACGUGUGCCUUUUUGUAUGUACUUUAUGAAUAAGGAUCGGCUAACUCCGUGCCAGCCGCCGCGGUAAUACGGAGGAUCCGAGCGUUAUCCGGAUUUAUUGGGUUUAAAGGGAGCGUAGAUGGGUUGUUAAGUAAGUUGUGAAAGUGUGCGGCUCAACCGUAAAAUUGCAAUUGAUACUGGCAGCCUUGAGUACAGUUGAGGUAGGCGGAAUUCGUGGUGUAGCGGUGAAAUGCUUAGAUAUCACGAAGAACUCCGAUUGCGAAGGCAGCCUACUAAACUGCCACUGACAUUGAUGCUCGAAAGUGUGGGUAUCAAACAGGAUUAGAUACCCUAGUAGUC